UAUACGACUCGCGAGUAAAGUAGUAUAACGCGAAUAUAAGCGAAACUCUGUACAAUUUUUUUAUCAGCACGCGCACGCGAUCGAGGCUAAACGAACAGAAAAAAUGUAACGGUUCUCGAUGAACGACAAUAACGCUAUACUACGGGACAGUAAUAAUUAUUGAACGGUGUACGGUUAUCGCGGAGGGUUAAAAGUAGUUAAAUAAUAUAUUUUUUAAUUUAUACAUGAUUGUUGAAAUUAAACAAUAGUUAGAAUAUUAGAAAAUAACUCGGUCAGCUAUCGUACAGGUAUAUAGUGUCUUCUUUAAAUAAUUGAUUUUUAACUUUAAUCGGUUA